AUAUAUGCGCGUUCAGCAGAUGCAGCUAUAAUAUAUGCAGCGCGAAAUUCAAAUUUCCACGCAAGUGGAGGCGCGCAAGUCAAAUGCCGAUAUGGUGGCAACAUGUUCACGACUACGAGAGUCAAGUGGAGGCUUGUUCUCCGAAAAAUUUACGAUUAACUAUAGCUUAACAUAUGCAGCUUGCUAUCGAUAUCAAUUUUCUUUUAGUUGGUAUUGCAUUAUAAGUAAAGAUAAAACAAAGGAUAGCACCGACUCUUAAGAUUCACGAGAAUAAGUAGCUGAUCUUAUUGUGUCAUCUAAAAAAGUAGAAAAAUAUUACGAAAUGCAUGGAAAGCUCGAAAAUGAAUUAAUUGCAAAGCAAAUAUAGCGAGAAACGCAGGACCAUCAUCCGUACAGAAGAUUUAUAGGCCAUACGCAAGUUACACAUAACCAAGACCAGUGCGUGACAUAGAAGCCGAAUUAAAUUACCGAGAAAUCUAUUAAAGUUUAUUUCGUCGAUAAUAAAAGAUAAAAUUUCCAAGUAUAACAUAUUCGUAUUAUCAUAUGAUAGAAAAUUACUUGGAACUGGUAUAAUGAAUAAAUUGAGCCAAAAAGAGCUCAACGGCAGGUCCAGAUCGCCAAAGUCAUCAUCGGUAGGCGUCAACUCGCCGCCUUGCUUGCUUUUGCGUCCUCUGGCUCUGCACACAGGCAACGAUAAGGGCAAUAACAAUAAUAGGGCCCACGACAGAGGCAGACCACUGCCGCCGUUGCGCGAGCAGGUUCAUGGCAAAUUCGAGUCAGCCGUGCAAACGUUCACAGAGAAUACGAUGAUGGCCGGCUGCGAACUCGUUGACUUGGGCUCGAGUAUAAGCAACGACAGGAGCAACGAUAGGUCUCGAAUCGACGUCGACCUUGGCCUGAUCGGCCUCAGGCCCGAACAUCUCUUGUCGCGGUUGUUCUUGAUCAAGCCAGACUUGCAGCUCGACGCGAGCUCGGCCGAAACUAUGAUCAACCCAGUAACGUUGUUGUCCAGCCCAGCUGCUAAUGUAAGCCACCAGGCGCCUUAUUAUGAUUCAAUGGAGAUCAGCCACCAAGUUCACAAUAACGAACUGCAGGGGAACGACGAAUUUUAUCAUACGCAUCGGAAACGCGAUUUGUUCGCAUCAGUCGAGGCAGUUCCGCCCGUCGCUAAUAACAUUAGCAGCUGCAAUGAUACAAACUUGCCUGAAUACUCCUGCAGCCUUCAGUACAUCGACCUAGACGCAUUCCAGGCUGAAAUGGGCCUGACGCGUCACAGCCUGCAUCAUCAUCAGCAACAGGUUGACGCAAACGUGGACGCGGCAUCGGCGCUACGAAAGGUGCAGCAGCAAACUGAUGCUACCAAAAAAAGAAAGCAAAAUAAAGCUCUUUUAAAAGAGCGAAAUAUAAGUUGCAGCCAGUGCCCGAGAAAGUUCAGGUCAGCGGGUUACCUCAAGAUUCACUUCAACUCGGCCCACCCGAGCGAUGGUACGAUCAGCAAGUGCCGCUGUAACGUAUGCGGCAAGGGUUUCUGUCACGGCGGUGCCCUGGCUCUUCACAAGAGACGAUACGCCUGCUCCCUGUCUACAGCUGUGCCAGCUGAGCCGCGGUCAAUAAUGCCAUCGAUACAAUGGCAGCACUAGUGCGUUAACGAGCGGAGCAAUGCGGGGCAGCCUGCGAACCGAGAGAUCAACUUGUAAUCCCGCAAAAUAUACUAUUGUUGUUACCAUGCCCAAACAAAGAAGUUAUUUUAUCGGAUGGUUUGAUUUUUAAAUUUCGCGCUGCAACAUUUUUAGCGGGAAUUAUUUUGACUUGAGAGUUCAUCGCCCGGUCGGGCAGUUUUGCACAUUAAGAACAAAUAAGUUUCAUUAUUCACAUAAUUAGAAAGAACAAAAAUUAUUAUAUGCAGUAAGGAAAACUAGUUGAUCUCAAUUUUGUAAUUAUUUAUUAUUUGUAUUACAAAACUAUAAUAAAUAUAUACUUAAAA